AUUGAACGCUGGCGGCAGGCCUAACACAUGCAAGUCGAGCGAGCGGCGGACGGGUGAGUAAUGUCUGGGAAACUGCGUGAUGGAGGGGGAUAACUACUGGAAACGGUAGCUAAUACCGCAUACUAUCAGAUGAGCCUAGGUCGGAUUAGCUUUUAGGUGGGGUAACGGCUAACCUAGGCGACGAUCCCUAGCUGGUCUGAGAGGAUGACCAGCCACACUGGAACUGAGACACGGUCCAGAAUCCGACGGGAGGCAGUAUUGGGGAAUAGUGCACAAGGGGCGCAAGCCUGAUGCAGCCCUGCCGCGGGUGUGAAGAAGGCCUGCUGUUUGUAAAGCACUUUCAGCGGGGAGGCGUUACCCGCAGAAGAAGCACCGGCUAACUCCGUGCCAGCAGCCGCGGUAAUUC
rnacentral:rRNA from 1 species